rnacentral:lncRNA from 1 species
CAGUUGUGACUGUCCUGUUUUCUGUGGCUCCACCUUUCUGGUCCUUCUUAGAGCAGGCGAUUUCUUGCUUCAUGAAAAGUGAGGGGAGGAUUGGGGUCCCAAAGGAGGCCUUGCCAUAGUCGAUUGCCUUGUCAUUUUCUGCACGAGGUGUGCAUGACCUAUGCGAAUAUCUGGAGACCAAGAAAUGCCCCAGGACAGUCCCACUGUAAACAUGAGCCAGAGCUUCAUGGAAGGAACCUAGAGGGCAAGUCACUAGAACCUUCCCAGGAGGGGAUGCCAAUCCUCUGAAGGGAUGUGAGCUGGACACACUGGCUCUGCCCAGGGCAAUCCCUGCUGCAGUCUGGCUGGGCACAAAAUCGCGAGCCACUCAAGCAGGAACAAACUUUAUUUUUUAAAUUCCCCUCCAAUGCCCUGUGCUCCCGGGAAAAAAAUGCCAACCGACACACGCAGCGUUCUCCCGGACACACCAACAGGAUAUCCCUCCUAUGAAAUUCCCUCCUACUGCACUUCCCCAACCAAUGGGAACUACCCAGGAGUCCCUUAGUAGGCCUGCGUGGAGAGCAGGGGUCUAAUAUCCAUAUGAAUGCAGAUGUUAACAUAAUCAUAUCAUCUCAAUGGCUUGCUGGCGUCACCUUUCAACCCAAAAUGCCAUGCAUCAUACUACUUGGCUAUGGCUCUCAGCAUCUCCCCCUUCUGUUUAAUUAAACAACAAGCAAUGUGGCUUAGGGACCGUGCCUGUUAGGUUGUCCAAUUCAACAUAUGGUUCUUACCCGUCAUCGGAUGAGCUGACCUCUAGGCCUCAGCCUCCUGUCUUAGGUUGAUACCACUGCAAUUUGAUCAUACCCGUCACUGACUACUGGUCCAGCAUAUAGCCAUACUUGUGGAUAGGCCCAUGCACCAGUGGGGGGGUGAGGUUCUUUGCCUCACCUCCAUUAGCCCCCAAAUUUAGACCAUCACUAGUAGAAGGGAGGAGGAUACAGAAAUGCCACGACACCAAGCCAAUUGACGGCUCCUUUGGAAAAAUUGCAUCACUAGUGACACAUCAGAAAAGAUACGCCAGCACUACCAUAAUUCACUGCAUUAACAGAUAGUUCACAAUGCAUACAAGUGAUACAUAGUCCAGGCAAGUUCUGCAAGCAGUUCAAAGCAGAGGAAUCUAU